UACGUAGGUGGCAAGCGUUAUCCGGAUUUAUUGGGCGUAAAGGGAACGCAGGUGGUCUUUUAAGUCUGAUGUGAAAGCCUUCGGCUUAACCGGAGUAGUGAAUUGGAAACUGGGAGACUUGAGUGCAGAAGAGGAGAGUGGAACUCCAUGUGUAGCGGUGAAAUGCGUAGAUAUAUGGAAGAACACCAGUGGCGAAAGCGGCUCUCUGGUCUGUAACUGACGCUGAGGUUCGAAAGCGUGGGUAGCAAACAGG
rnacentral:rRNA from 1 species